UCCGUGACGGCGUGCCUUUUGCAUAAUGAGCCUACGAGUUACCGUUGCUAGCAAGGUUAAGGACUUCAGGUCCGGAUCCGUAGCGAAAGCGAGUCUGAAUAGGGCGCUUUAGUUAGUAGUGGUAGACGCGAAACCGUGUGAUCUACCCAUGGGCAGGUUGAAGCUGUAGUAACAUACAGUGGAGGCCCGAACCGGUUGACGUUGAAAAGUCUUCGGAUGACCUGUGGGUAGGGGUGAAAGGCCAAUCAAACUCGGAAAUAGCUCGUACUCCCCGAAAUGCAUUUAGGUGCAGCGUUGAUUUAUAGUUUUAUAGAGGUAGAGCUACUGAUUGGAUGCGGGGGCUUCACCGCCUACCAAUUCCUGACAAACUCCGAAUGCUAUAAAAUGUUAAUCAGCAGUGAGGGCAUGGGUGCUAAGGUCCAUGUCCGAGAGGGAAAGAACCCAGACCAUCAGCUAAGGUCCCCAAAUGUAUGUUAAGUUGAAUAAACGAGGUUGAACUGCUUAGACAGCUAGGAUGUUGGCUUGGAAGCAGCCAUUCAUUUAAAGAGUGCGUAACAGCUCACUAGUCGAGCGGUUCGGCAUGGAUAAUAAUCGGGCAUAAACAUACUACCGAAGCUAUGGACUUGUAAAAGUGGUAGGGGAGCAUUGUAGUGUCGUCGAAGGUGAAGCGUGAGCUUUGCUGGAGAAGCUACAAAAGAAAAUGUAGGCAUAAGUAACGAUAAUGCGGGCGAGAAACCCGCACUCCGAAAGACUAAGGUUUCCUCAGCUAUGCUAAUCAGCUGAGGGUUAGUCGGGACCUAACGCGAACCCGAAAGGGGUAGUGGAUGGACAACGGGUUAAUAUUCCCGUACCUGCUCACGCUAAAAGUGACGGAGGCGUAUAUUUGGUGCGAACUGACGGAAUAGUUCGUUGAAGGGAGCGGUAACGCCCCGAUAGUACACUGAGGCUACGGCCAAGGUGAUAAUCCAGAGAAGCGACUUCCAAGAAAAGCAAGUGAAGCAGCCCGUACCGCAAACCGACACAGGUAGUUGGGAUGAGAAUUCUAAGGUGCUCGAGAGAUUCAUGGCUAAGGAACUAGGCAAAAUAGACGCGUAACUUCGGGAGAAGCGUCGCCUGUAGUAAUACAGGCCGCAGUGAAAAGAUCCAAGCGACUGUUUAUCAAAAACACAGGGCUCUGCUAAAUCGAAAGAUGACGUAUAGGGCCUGACACCUGCCCGGUGCUGGAAGGUUAAGUGGAGGGCUUAGAGGUUUACCUCGAAGGUCUGAAAUGAAGCCCCAGUAAACGGCGGCCGUAACAAUAACGGUCCUAAGGUAGCGAAAUUCCUUGUCGGGUAAGUUCCGACCUGCACGAAUGGCGUAACGACUUCCCCGCUGUCUCCAACAUCGACUCAGCGAAAUUGAAUUGCCUGUCAAGAUGCAGGCUUCCCGCGGUUAGACGGAAAGACCCCGUGCACCUUUACUACAGCUUCGCACUGGCAUCAGGAUUGUGAUGUGCAGGAUAGGUGGUAGGCAUCGAAACCGUGACGCUAGUCGCGGUGGAGCCUUCCUUGAGAUACCACCCUUCGCACUCUUGAUGUCUAACCGCGGCCCAUUAUCUGGGUCCGGGACCCUGCGUGGCGGGUAGUUUGACUGGGGCGGUCGCCUCCUAAAGCGUAACGGAGGCGCGCGAAGGUUGGCUCAGAGCGGUCGGAAAUCGCUCGUUGAGUGCAAUGGCAGAAGCCAGCCUGACUGCAAGACUGACAAGUCGAGCAGAGUCGAAAGACGGCCAUAGUGAUCCGGUGGUCCCAAGUGGGAGGGCCAUCGCUCAACGGAUAAA
rnacentral:rRNA from 1 species